rnacentral:rRNA from 1 species
UACGUAGGGGGCAAGCGUUGUCCGGAAUCAUUGGGCGUAAAGCGCGCGUAGGCGGCCCGGUAAGUCCGUUGUGAAAGUCAAAGGCUCAACCUUUGAACGCCGGUGGAAACCGUAAAGCUAGAGUCCGGAAGAGGAGAGUGGAAUUCCUGGUGUAGCGGUGAAAUGCGCAGAUAUCAGGAAGAACACCCGUGGCGAAGGCGGCUCUCUGGGACGGUACUGACGCUGAGACGCGAAAGCGUGGGGAGCGAACAGG